rnacentral:rRNA from 1 species
GACGAACGCUGGCGGCGUGCUUAACACAUGCAAGUCGAGCGGUAAGGCUCCUUCGGGAGUACACGAACGGCGAACGGGUGAGUAACACGUGAGCAAUCUGCCCUUCACACGGGGAUAACCCUCGGAAACGAGAGCUAAUACCCGAUACGACCACUUCAGGCAUCUGAUGGUGGUGGAAAGUUCCGGCGGUGAAGGAUGAGCUCGCGGCCUAUCAGCUUGUUGGUGGGGUAACGGCCCACCAAGGCAACGACGGGUAGCCGGCCUGAGAGGGUGACCGGCCACACUGGGACUGACACACGGCCCAGACUCCUACGGGAGGCAGCAGUGGGGAAUAUUGGACAAUGGGCGAAAGCCUGAUCCAGCAACGCCGCGUGAGGGAUGACGGCCUUCGGGUUGUAAACCUCUUUCAGCAGGGACGAAGCGCAAGUGACGGUACCUGCAGAAGAAGCACCGGCCAACUACGUGCCAGCCGCCGCCGUAA